GGAGUUUGGUCCGUGUCUCAGUACCAAUGUGGGGGACCUUCCUCUCAGAACCCCUACUGAUCGUUGCCCCGGUGGGCCGUUACCCCGCCUGCUGCCUAAUCGUACGCAUCCCCAUCCAUCGGCGACCGAAGUCUUUCGUGAAAAUCAGAGGCCUUCUUCUCACAACAUCAGGUAUUAGGCUCCCUUUCGGGAGUUUAUUCCUGACCCAUGGGCAGGUUGGAUACGCGUUACUCACUCGUGCGCCGGUCGUCAUCUGACUGAGCAAGCUCCGCCAAUGUUACCCCUCGACUUGCAUGUGUUAAGCCUGUAGCUAGCGUUCAUC
rnacentral:rRNA from 1 species